rnacentral:rRNA from 1 species
ACGAACGCUGGCGGCGUGCUUAACACCUGCAAGUCGAACGGAAAGGCCCUGCUCUUGUGGGGUGCUCGAGUGGCGAACGGGUGAGUAACACGUGAGUAACCUGCCCUUGACUUUGGGAUAACUUCAGGAAACUGGGGCUAAUACCGGAUAGGAGCUCCUGCUGCAUGGUGGGGGUUGGAAAGUUUCGGCGGUUGGGGAUGGACUCGCGGCUUAUCAGCUUGUUGGUGGGGUAGUGGCUUACCAAGGCUUUGACGGGUAGCCGGCCUGAGAGGGUGACCGGCCACAUUGGGACUGAGAUACGGCCCAGACUCCUACGGGAGGCAGCAGUGGGGAAUAUUGCACAAUGGGCGGAAGCCUGAUGCAGCAACGCCGCGUGCGGGAUGACGGCCUUCGGGUUGUAAACCGCUUUCGCCUGUGACGAAGCGUGAGUGACGGUAAUGGGUAAAGAAGCACCGGCUAACUACGUG